rnacentral:snRNA from 1 species
AUGCUUGCUUCAGCACAUAUACUAAAAUUGGAACCAUACAGAGAAUAUUAGCAUGGCCCCUGUGCAAGGAUGAUAUGAAAAUUCAUAAAGCAUUCCAUAUUUUU